GAUGAACGCUGGCGGCGUGCCUAAUACAUGCAAGUCGAGCGAACAGACGAGGAGCUUGCUCCUCUGACGUUAGCGGCGGACGGGUGAGUAACACGUGGAUAACCUACCUAUAAGACUGGGAUAACUUCGGGAAACCGGAGCUAAUACCGGAUAAUAUAUUGAACCGCAUGGUUCAAUAGUGAAAGACGGUUUUGCUGUCACUUAUAGAUGGAUCCGCGCCGCAUUAGCUAGUUGGUAAGGUAACGGCUUACCAAGGCAACGAUGCGUAGCCGACCUGAGAGGGUGGUCGGCCACACUGGAACUGAGACACGGUCCAGACUCCUACGAGAGGCAGCAGUAGGGAAUCUUCCGCAAUGGGCGAAAGCCUGACGGAGCAACGCCGCGUGAGUGAUGAAGGUCUUCGGAUCGUAAAACUCUGUUAUUAGGGAAGAACAAAUGUGUAAGUAACUAUGCACGUCUUGACGGUACCUAAUCAGAAAGCCACGGCUAACUACGUG
rnacentral:rRNA from 1 species